UUACACCUCUCAAGUUUAACUUGGUAUUGAGUUUGUGGAGAAAUUCGCAUUCUUUAAAUAUUUACAGCUAUUCAUCAUGAUAAGUGUUUGAUAUUCUUCAUUUAUUCAGAAGUGAAUCGGCUCGUAACCUUUUUUCAA
rnacentral:misc_RNA from 1 species